rnacentral:piRNA from 1 species
UGCCUUUUUGGGAAAAAAAAG